rnacentral:rRNA from 1 species
AAGACUUCAGAUAUGAUCCAGAGUACCACGGGACACGUGAAACCCUGUGGGAAGCAGGAGGGACCACCCUCCAAGGCUAAAUACUACCUAGUGACCGAUAGCGUAUAGUACCGUGAGGGAAAGGUGAAAAGAACCCCGGGAGGGGAGUGAAAUAGAACCUGAAACCCUGCACUUACAAGCUGUGGAAGCACAUUUCUUGUGUGACCGCGUACUUUUUGUAGAACGGGCCAACGAGUUACGUUAAGUAGCAAGGUUAAGCACUUAAGGUGUGGAGCCGUAGCGAAAGCGAGUUUUAACUGAGCGUUCAGUUACUUGACGUAGACCCGAAACCGGGCGACCUACCCAUGAGCAGGAUGAAGCGAAAGUAAAAUUUCGUGGAGGUCCGAACCCACGAGCGUUGAAAAGCUCGGGGAUGACUUGUGGGUAGCGGUGAAAUUCCAAUCGAGCCCGGAGAUAGCUGGUUCUCCCCGAAAUAGCUUUAGGGCUAGCCUCAAGGUGAGAGAUACGGAGGUAGAGCACUGAAUGUCCUAGGGGGUAUUGCACCUACCGAAGACUAUCAAACUCCGAAUGCCGUCAUCUUAUACUUGGGAGUCAGACUGUGGGUGAUAAGAUUCAUAGUCGAAAGGGCAACAGCCCAGAUCGUCAGCUAAGGUCCCUAAAUGUAAGUUAAGUGGUAAAGGAUGUGGGAUUGCACAGACAACCAGGAUGUUGGCUUAGAAGCAGCCACUCAUUCAAAGAGUGCGUAAUAGCUCACUGGUCGAGUGAUCCUGCGCCGAAGAUUUCCGGGGCUAAAACUUACUACCGAAGCUACGGCAUCAGUAAUGAUGGGUAGGGGAGCUUCCCAUACGGGUUGAAGCAUGACCGUAAGGACAUGUGGACAGUAUGGGAGUGAGAAUGUUGGCAUGAGUAGCGAGAUGUGGGUGAGAAUCCCACAGGCCGUAAACCCAAGGUUUCCAGGGGAAGGUUCGUCCGCCCUGGGUUAGUCGGGACCUAAGCUGAGGCCGAAAGGCGUAGGUGAUGGACAACAGGUUGAU